AUGAGUAGCAUGUCGUGUUAUACCCUGGCAGAAGGUGGAAGCAUCUUCCCAUCUGGCGACGAACUCGGUGGGAAUCAAAAGACAGAGCAAGGAAAUUACUGGAUACAAUGGAAUUCAAGGCUAUCUGAUGAUUUGAACACAACAAGCCUAUACUCAGACGAGCAUGAGAAUGGCAUCGAGCAAUGUUUCGACGACGCCGAUGAACAUGAGAGGAGCAGCCAACAGGAGAGGUCGUCAGCAUGUGCCAGAGUUUCUUCAGGUUGCAGCACAGGGCCUUCAGAAGAACAAUCUGAGGGGCCAGCGCCGUUGGAACUACAGCACUCCAAGGAAACAAACGACAUCUUCUUGAGUCAAUUUUCGGAUGAUGAAAUGAGGAUGAUGGAUGCGCCGUUUCAGGCACUUGAUAUGUUCCCUGGCUCCAUGCACAGGCUGUUGUCCUAUGAGAACAUGCUGAGUGGAGUAUUGACUGAUUCUCAAAAUCAAGAAGCAAAUCCAGGUCAUAAUGAAAUGGACACCAUGGAUACUUGCGGCUUUCCUUUGUUCAGCCAUGACUUGCAAAAUGAUCCUAGCAGCGCUGAUGGCAGCUUACAAACACUGCUGAGUGCCUCCCAGGACAAGGCUGAGGUGAGCACCAUGAAGAGGAGCAGAUCAGUGCCCGAUAUAGAGAGCUCCUCCAACGGGGAAGUAGCAGUGCUUGAGGAACUUGAAGAUGUCAUGUUUCAGCUGACAAAGAAGACACGUGUAUGCCUCCGUGACGCUUUCUACAGGCUGGCUGAAAGCUCAGAAGCGCAGUGCACUGCUGUAAAUGGAGCAACACUAACGUGCUCAAACGAGCAAAGUUUUCAGCAAUCAGAGGGCACCGAAUCUAGCACCUCGACAUCAGACCGUGCAGAACGGGAGACGAACGCGAUAGACAGAACCGUGGCAAUCCUCGCGUUCAAGCCGGCUUGCUCAGCUGCAUGGGAAUGA
rnacentral:rRNA from 1 species